rnacentral:misc_RNA from 1 species
CCGAGUGUCUCGGGCCCCAAAAAAGGGGCCCGCCUCUCUCUCCCACACCGUGCGUACGCAUGUCACAACGUGAAAGAACACAAAGGACAAUGUGUCUAAACAACCGAAACCCAAAAAAACGAAUGCAA